GGAGAGAUGCGAGAGUGGUUGAAUCGGGCGGUCUCGAAAACCGUUAAGCCCGUAAGGGCUUCGGGGGUUCGAAUCCCCCUCUCUCCG
rnacentral:tRNA from 1 species